GCCACGGUGACGUAGAUGCAUUAUUAUACACGUAGAUACGUACGGAGACGCCACCGCAGGACAAAGACCAGCAGGACAAAGACCCGCAGGACAAAGACCAGCAGGACAAAGACCAGCAGGACAAAGACCAGCAGGACAAAGACCUGCAGGACAAAGACCUGAUCAGCCUCCAGAGGAGGAAUUAACAAUCUUGAUUAUCGGCAUCGAGCUGCACUUCUUCAGCGACGUCGGGGGACACGUGUCCCCUCCGAGUGUCCCUCGACCCCACGUCCAACGUCACUGUGAUUGCACCGGACACACACCGUCUCAUUCAUCUCUGCUCUGUAGCGUAGGCAGAGCGGCCGCUGGUCUCCGGGUCACGCGUCCGUCGGCUGGACAGGACGCGUGAUGGUCUCGGUGGGUUUAAAGCAGGAGCUGCUGGGACCACACACACACACACACACACA
ensembl:lncRNA